GGGGGUGUUCUGGAUUCUACCCUUGGUUGGAGCGCUCCGCUGCCUGUCGAGAGCCGUGGGACUCUCGUAAAUCCCCCCGCGAAAACAAUAAAUGGCAACUUCGAAGAAAUGCCCCUGGCUGCUUAAUUGACAGCCACGUGUGCCCGGCGACGCCUGCUGGCCGGAUCACACGUCGACAGCAGGCAUAGUCUGUGUGGUCGUCUCUGACGCGCAAACCGUAUCUUCAUCCAGAGCCUAGCCGACGACGCGCGCGUGUCAUCACUUGUCGAAGGCGAAUCUCAAAUGGCACUACACAGGUAGACGCGGAUCGUGAAGGUCAGGGGCACCCGGGUUCAACUCCCGGCACCUCCACCA
rnacentral:tmRNA from 1 species